ensembl:rRNA 5S_rRNA 5S ribosomal RNA
GUCUAGGGCCAUACCACCCUGAACGCGCCCGAUCUCGUCUGAUCUCGGAAGCUAAGCAGGGUCGGGCCUGGUUAGUACUUGGAUGGGAGAAAUGACAGAAAGCCGAGGAACAGGCU